AAUUUACCUGGUACUUCUUGUAAGUUUAAAGCACCUGUUGAGUCGAUAACACGUUUACCGAAUUUGAAAUUAGGAAUUUCAAUUGGUCUUGAACCUGUUGCAAUGAUUGCAUUUUUAAAGUUAUAUGUUUGUGCGCUCUUUUCGUCCAUAACACGUAAGCUAUUGUUAUCUACGAAAUAUGCUUCACCUUUAACGAUGUUAACUUUGUUACCUUUAAGUAAGCCUUCAACACCACCAGUUAAUUUAUUAACAACUGAUGAUUU
rnacentral:sRNA from 1 species